rnacentral:rRNA from 1 species
AUUGAACGCUGGCGGCAUGCCUUACACAUGCAAGUAGAACGGCAGCGCGGGAGCAAUCCUGGCGGCGAGUGGCGAACGGGUGAGUAAUAUAUCGGAACGUGCCCAGUAGGGGGGGAUAGCCCGGCGAAAGCCGGAUUAAUACCGCAUACGACCUACGGGUGAAAGGGGGGGAUCGCAAGACCUCUCGCUAUUGGAGCGGCCGAUAUCCGAUUAGGUAGUUGGUGGGGUAAAGGCCUACCAAGCCUGCGAUCUGUAGUUGGUCUGAGAGGACGACCAGCCACACUGGGACUGAGACACGGCCCAGACUCCUACGGGAGGCAGCAGUGGGGAAUUUUGGACAAUGGGCGCAAGCCUGAUCCAGCAAUGCCGCGUGCAGGAAGAAGGCCUUCGGGUUGUAAACUGCUUUUGUCAGGGAAGAAAUCCUCUAGGCUAAUACCUUGGGGGGAUGACGGUACCUGAAGAAUAAGCACCGGCUAACUACGUGCCAGCAGCCGCCGUAAUAC